rnacentral:sRNA from 1 species
AAUGUUUUGAAAAAAUAGCCUGGCGGUGUACCGCGAGUUAAAAUCUAGUUGUAAUA